rnacentral:misc_RNA from 1 species
GAAGUCGGUGAGGUAACCUUUAUGGAGCCAGCCGCCGAAGGUGGGACAGAUGAUUGGGGUGAAGUCGUAACAAGGUAGCCGUAUCGGAAGGUGCGGCUGGAUCACCUCCUUUCUAAGGAUAUUUAACGGAAUAUAAGACCUUGGGUCUUAUAAACAGUACGUUCCCUGUCUUGUUUAGUUUUGAAGGAUCAUUCGAUUCUUCGAGAUGUUGUUCUUUGAAAACUAGAUAACGAUAAGUAAGACAUCACAUUCAAAAGUAAGACCAAGAAUAACUGUAGUGAUUCUUUUUUAACGGUUAAGUUAGAAAGGGCGCACGGUGGAUGCCUUGGCACUAGGAGCCGAUGAAGGACG